GCCGGGCCGCUCAGCUGCGGAGCGCAUGGGGUCCGCCGCGCCGCGGUGCGCCCGGCCUGGAGCAGCAACAGCAGCGCGCAGAGGGAGGCCUGCAACAGAACCACAGGGAGACGAUCUGGAGGGAGAAACUGACUCUGUAGCGCCACCUGAAGCUCAAAGUCCAAACGGUUUGUGUCCAGGAUGUGUGGGGUCUGCAGAAAUUCUAGCUGCCUCUCUGACCCUUGACCUGUACAGGUCCUGGUGAUCCUCCCUGCAGGCCGCAGAGGAAGCAUGUUGAAGCUCUAAAAACAAAACUUUAACUGGCCUCAUGAAUAAUUAACGCAGUGAAACUGGGCCUGGACCUGUCCCCGGCCUGGUACCGCCCCGGCCUGGACCCGCCCCGGCCUCAUGUUCUCCUCCCCCGCUGUAUAAAGCUUCGUCUCCUGGAUUUAGAAGCAGAGCUGACUUUCACUGUCACCUGAUGAGCGUUGAUGAGGUAAUGCAGCUGAUGCAACACGGCUGCUGAAAGCUGCAAACCUGCAGCAGGAAGCGAGUUUCUCUGCACACUGAUGAACUUUGACCCCAGAUGACAGACAUGAUGGAAAUCAGCUGGUUGGAGAUUUUCUCUCUCACCCUUCUUUGUCCUGCAGACUUCUCCUUCUCAUGAAGAAUAAAACACACAUUUGAUCAGUUCCUCCUCCCCUGGUAUUCACAUGAGUCGCGCCCCUCUGUUUUAUUGUCAUGGUUACCAAACCGCCCUCCUUCCCCUUCAUGGAAAGUUUGCAGUUAUUUUCAGAAGCUGAAGAACCCAAACCCUGAACCUUUUCAUUCUGUCCGCCUCCAACAGAGAAACCUGAACCUGUCUUUGUCUGGAUCAGAGAGAAAAAAAUCAACUGAAAAGUGUGGCAGGUUUCUGUGCUUCUUUAUUUAGGAGAACUGGCCCUCUGGUGGGGAGCCAGCGCACAUUUUUAGGCUGCUGUAAGUUUUACAAAGCAAAAUAUUUAAUUUAAGCAGUUAGUUAAAUAAAUAGUUAUUUAUUCAGUAAAUAUUGAGUUUUUAAUAUUUAAAUAUUGAAUUAAAUAUGUAGUUUUCAAACUAAAUAUUUAGCUGGUGAUUUAAAUAUUUAGUUUUGAACUCAGGCAUUUAUAAAUGUAGGAAUAACAAGGUGAAAAUAUAACUUUGAAAAUUUAACACCCACAUUUU